GUUUUCUAGCAUUUUCAGAGGGUAUUACGUGUGUUAUUACACAAUUGAAUUUGUGAGGUGAGGUGUUUUGCUGAAAGUGGUAUCUGGCUGUUGGAAUUUUAUGUCUUUCAAAUUUUCAUUUUCAUUCAACUUGUUAUACAUUUCACCUUCAUUUGUUUCACCAUCAUCUCUUUUGUCGAUUUCAUUUCAGUUCAGAUAAAAGAAAAGAAAAAGAAAAGAAAAAGAAAAGAAAAGAAGAAGAAAAGGAAAAUAAGUUGAAUAUACAAAGAAAAGAAAAGAAAGAAACAAUUGAAUUUAGAAAGGGAGAAUCCCUUUGAAGAAUAUAUUGAAUUUACAAAGAGAGAAUCUCUUUGAAGAAUAUAGCCGUAACACUUUCGAAAGAAAGAAUUUUCAAAGAAAUAAUAUAUUGAAUUUACAAAGAGAGAAUCUCUUUGAAGAAUAUAGCCGUAACACUUUCGAAAGAAAGAAUUUUUAAAGAAAGAAUUUCAUGAAUAUACAAAGAAUUGAACAUAACAGAGAAUUGAAUUUACAAAGAAUAUAAAUUUACAAAGAAACAACAUAAAGCAAAUUGAUACAU